rnacentral:rRNA from 1 species
CAAUAGCGUAUAUUUAAGUUGUUGCAGUUAAAAAGCUCGUAGUCGGAUUUUGGCUGAGAACGAUCGGUCCGCCGUUAGGUGUGCACUGAUUGGUCUCAGCUUCCUGGUGAGGAGGUGUGCUUCACGGCCACUUAGUCACCGUGGUUACUUUGAAAAAAUUAGAGUGUUCAAAGCGGGCUUACGCUUGAAUAUAUUAGCAUGGAAUAACACCAUAGGACUCCUGUCCUAUUUCGUUGGUCUCGGGACGGGAGUAAUGAUUAAGAGGAACAGUUGGGGGCAUUCGUAUUUCAUUGUCAGAGGUGAAAUUCUUGGAUUUAUGAAAGACGAACUUCUGCGAAAGCAUUUGCCAAGGAUGUUCUCAUUGA